CACUUGGAAAUGAGUGCAAAUUAUGGGUUGCUGUUGGAACCGAGUGGACAAUGGAGAUAAAAGAGUGUGAAGAGAAACUUGACUGUUUUGAAAUUAGCUUGUUUCACCUUCCAGAAUACAGGUUAUUAAAGUUAAGAGUCACAGCAGUUUUCCAGAAUGGCCUGUUCAUGUGAAGAAAAUCAAUGAAGUUUAUUCCCUGUGACAAAGAGUGUUGUUUGGAUGAAGUCAGCCCUUUUGACCUAGCAGCAUGGAGCUUUUCUGAUUCAGGUGGGAAAACAGACCAGACUCCUAUGGUUAAAAUUGCUAUGCAGGGAUGUCAAAUCUGACCUGUUCUCAAGACCACCAUGUGUGUCUUGGGUUA